AUUCCAAUCGAACCUGGAGAUAGCUGGUUCUCUCCGAAAUAGCUUUAGGGCUAGCCUCAAGUGAUGAUUAUUGGAGGUAGAGCACUGUUUGGACGAGGGGCCCCUCUCGGGUUACCGAAUUCAGACAAACUCCGAAUGCCAAUUAAUUUAACUUGGGAGUCAGAACAUGGGUGAUAAGGUCCGUGUUCGAAAGGGAAACAGCCCAGACCACCAGCUAAGGUCCCAAAAUAUAUGUUAAGUGGAAAAGGAUGUGGCGUUGCCCAGACAACUAGGAUGUUGGCUUAGAAGCAGCCAUCAUUUAAAGAGUGCGUAAUAGCUCACUAGUCGAGUGACACUGCGCCGAAAAUGUACCGGGGCUAAACAUAUUACCGAAGCUGUGGAUUGUCCUUUGGACAAUGGUAGGAGAGCGUUCUAAGGGCGUUGAAGCAUGAUCGUAAGGACAUGUGGAGCGCUUAGAAGUGAGAAUGCCGGUGUGAGUAGCGAAAGACGGGUGAGAAUCCCGUCCACCGAUUGACUAAGGUUUCCAGAGGAAGGCUCGUCCGCUCUGGGUUAGUCGGGUCCUAAGCUGAGGCCGACAGGCGUAGGCGAUGGAUAACAGGUUGAUAUUCCUGUACCACCUAUAAUCGUUUUAAUCGAUGGGGGGACGCAGUAGGAUAGGCGAAGCGUGCGAUUGGAUUGCACGUCUAAGCAGUAAGGCUGAGUAUUAGGCAAAUCCGGUACUCGUUAAGGCUGAGCUGUGAUGGGGAGAAGACAUUGUGUCUUCGAGUCGUUGAUUUCACACUGCCGAGAAAAGCCUCUAGAUAGAAAAUAGGUGCCCGUACCGCAAACCGACACAGGUAGUCAAGAUGAGAAUUCUAAGGUGAGCGAGCGAACUCUCGUUAAGGAACUCGGCAAAAUGACCCCGUAACUUCGGGAGAAGGGGUGCUCUUUAGGGUUAACGCCCAGAAGAGCCGCAGUGAAUAGGCCCAAGCGACUGUUUAUCAAAAACACAGGUCUCUGCUAAACCGUAAGGUGAUGUAUAGGGGCUGACGCCUGCCCGGUGCUGGAAGGUUAAGAGGAGUGGUUAGCUUCUGCGAAGCUACGAAUCGAAGCCCCAGUAAACGGCGGCCGUAACUAUAACGGUCCUAAGGUAGCGAAAUUCCUUGUCGGGUAAGUUCCGACCCGCACGAAAGGCGUAACGAUUUGGGCACUGUCUCAACGAGAGACUCGGUGAAAUCAUAGUACCUGUGAAGAUGCAGGUUACCCGCGACAGGACGGAAAGACCCCGUGGAGCUUUACUGUAGCCUGAUAUUGAAAUUCGGCACAGCUUGUACAGGAUAGGUAGGAGCCUUUGAAACGUGAGCGCUAGCUUACGUGGAGGCGCUGGUGGGAUACUACCCUAGCUGUGUUGGCUUUCUAACCCGCACCACUUAUCGUGGUGGGAGACAGUGUCAGGCGGGCAGUUUGACUGGGGCGGUCGCCUCCUAAAAGGUAACGGAGGCGCUCAAAGGUUCCCUCAGAAUGGUUGGAAAUCAUUCAUAGAGUGUAAAGGCAUAAGGGAGCUUGACUGCGAGACCUACAAGUCGAGCAGGGUCGAAAGACGGACUUAGUGAUCCGGUGGUUCCGCAUGGAAGGGCCAUCGCUCAACGGAUAAAAGCUACCCCGGGGAUAACAGGCUUAUCUCCCCCAAGAGUUCACAUCGACGGGGAGGUUUGGCACCUCGAUGUCGGCUCAUCGCAUCCUGGGGCUGUAGUCGGUCCCAAGGGUUGGGCUGUUCGCCCAUUAAAGCGGUACGCGAGCUGGGUUCAGAACGUCGUGAGACAGUUCGGUCCCUAUCCGUCGUGGGCGUAGGAAAUUUGAGAGGAGCUGUCCUUAGUACGAGAGGACCGGGAUGGACAUACCUCUGGUGUACCAGUUGUCGUGCCAACGGCAUAGCUGGGUAGCUAUGUGUGGACGGGAUAAGUGCUGAAAGCAUCUAAGCAUGAAGCCCCCCUCAAGAUGAGAUUUCCC
rnacentral:rRNA from 1 species